rnacentral:tRNA from 1 species
GGGGCUGUAGCUCAGCAGGAUAGAGCGGUCGCCUCCUAAGCGACAGGUAGUGCGUUCGAGUCGCGCCAGUCCCG